rnacentral:rRNA from 1 species
AUUGAACGCUGGCGGCAGGCCUAACACAUGCAAGUCGAGCGGAUGAAGGGAGCUUGCUCCUGGAUUCAGCGGCGGACGGGGGAGUAAUGCCUAGGAAUCUGCCUGGUAUUGGGGGAUAACGUCCGGAAACGGGCGCUAAUACCGCAUACGUCCUGAGGGAGAAAGUGGGGGAGCUUCGGACCUCACGCUAUCAGAUGAGCCUAGGUCGGAUUAGCUAGUUGGUGGGGUAAAGGCCUACCAAGGCGACGAUCCGUAACUGGUCUGAGAGGAUGAUCAGUCACACUAGAACUGAGACACGGUCCAGACUCCUACGGGAGGCAGCAGUGGGGAAUAUUGGACAAUGGGCGAAAGCAUGAUCCAGUCAUGCCGCGUGUGUGAAGAAGGUCUUCGGAUUGUAAAGCCCUUUAAGUUGGGAGGAAGGGCAGUAAGUUAAUACCUUGCUGUUUUGACGUUACCAACAGAAUAAGCACCGGCUAACUUCGUG